rnacentral:rRNA from 1 species
AGGAGUGCUAAUACAGCAUAAGACCACGACCUCGAAAGGGGUUGAGGUAAAAGACGGCCUCUAUAUAUAAGCUGUCACUUGGGGAUGAGCCCGCGGCCCAUCAGCUAGUUGGUAGGGUAAUGGCCUACCAAGGCGAAAACGGGUAGCUGGUCUGAGAGGAUGAUCAGCCACACUGGAACUGAGACACGGUCCAGACUCCUACGGGAGGCAGCAGUGGGGAAUCUUGCGCAAUGGACGAAAGUCUGACGCAGCGACGCCGCGUGGGUGAUGAAGGCCUUCGGGUUGUAAAGCCCUGUGGGGAGAGACGAAUAAGUGUAGCCUAAUACGUUACAUGAUGACGGUAUCUCCUUAGCAAGCACCGGCUA